rnacentral:rRNA from 1 species
UGAGGGCAAGCUCGCGCUGGAGGAGGGGCCCGCGUCCGAUUAGCUUGUUGGUGGGUAACGGCCUACCAAGGCGUCGAUCGGUAGCUGGUCUGAGAGGACGAUCAGCCACACUGGGACUGAGACACGGCCCAGACUCCUACGGGAGGCAGCAGUGGGAAUAUUGGACAAUGGGCGAAAGCCUGAUCCAGCAAUGCCGCGUGAGUGAUGAAGGCCUUAGGGUUGUAAAGCUCUUUCGCCUGAGACGAUGAUGACGGUAUCAGGAGAAGAAGCCCCGGCUAAUUCCGUG